rnacentral:rRNA from 1 species
GUCUAUGGCCAUGCCACCCUGAACAAGGCUGGUGUCUGAUCUCGGAAGCUAAGCAGGUCGGGUCUGGUUAGUACUUAGAUGGGAGACCACCUAGGAAGACCAGGUGCUGCAGGCA